AAUGAACGCUGGCGGCGCGCCUAAUACAUGCAAGUCGAGCGAGAAGACGUAGCAAUACGUUUGUAAAGCGGCGAACGGGUGAGGAAUACAUGGGUAACCUACCCUAGAGUGGGGAAUAACUAGCCGAAAGGUUAGCUAAUACCGCGUACGCUCCUUGGACUUCGGUUCAGGGAGGAAAGCGAUACCGAGGGUAUCGCGCUCUUGGAUGGGCUCAUGUCCUAUCAGCUUGNGGUGAGGUAACGGCUCACCAAGGCUUCGACGGGUAGCUGGUCUGAGAGGACGAUCAGCCACACUGGCACUGCGACACGGGCCAGACUCCUACGGGAGGCAGCAGUAAGGAAUAUUGCGCAAUGGGCGAAAGCCUGACGCAGCGACGCCGCGUGGGGGAUGAAGGUCUUCGGAUUGUAAACCCCUUUCGGGAGGGAAGAUGGAACGAGCAAUCGUUCGGACGGUACCUCCAGAAGCAGCCACGGCUAACUUCGUGCCAGCAGCCGCA
rnacentral:rRNA from 1 species